rnacentral:lncRNA from 1 species
AGAAGAGGCGGAGCCUAUCUCUCAUCAGGACCAGUCUGACUGCACCUGCAUCCUUAGCUCAGAGCAUCCCUGGAGCAUCUAAGAGGAAAGCGCAGCUAGCAACCAGGGAUCGUACUGCAGGGGCAAUCGGUCAUGCACCUUCCCCUCCCCUGAUCUGGAGGUCUACAGCCGCGGCCUCGGUACUGACCGAGAUUCCCAAAGUUGUCUGACCUCUGCAAAAGUGUUUCUAUCAACAGCCUCUGAUUACAACAUGGCUGAGAUCACAAAUAUACGCCCCAGCUUUGGGGUGUGCUGGAGAGCUUCGCGUACCUACAAGGAAUACUUGCACUGGUCAGCAUCCUUCUGUGGGCCUGCAAUCCUAACCGACAAGGGCACAGAAGGCAGCUGUGCUCACACGGCUCUGAGAGCUCCCUUCACAGGCACUCCUCUGACCCAAGGAGUAACAACACACAGAACAAGCAGCAAGGCACAACUCCUUUCCUCGGAGGGGCAACUGGACAGCCUUUAACCCUUUAAAAACCAGGGACUGAUUUUCACGGGUUCUGACUUCAGCACUGCAUCAUCCAGCAGCUACAAAUGCGCAGACUGACAGGAAUGGCAGCAGUUGCCUACCCUGGUGAGAUAAGCCUGUGCGAACGCCAGGUCCUUCUGCUCCCUGAGUGGGUCCCGGUCGAGAAUGUCCUCAUCAUACAGCAACAGCAGCUUGGAGGUGUCCUUGCUGGCCCGAGCCCGACUUCCCCGUUUGUUUCGAGCCCGAUGACUGCUCCGUCCCUUUCCAGCAGCUUUGAUGCUCUCCCCUUGGAGUAGUGAAAAAGAUUCCUUCUCAAUCCCUGAAACUGUGCUAUCCAGCGUAAAGGCCACCCCGUGCACUCCGACUAAUAUCACGGCACAGCUAGGGAAGAAUAGCUAGGUCAGCAGCAGAGCCAGCCUCCAGGACAGCACCAGCACUGCGCAGUGCACCACACGCCCUUCAACAGUGUCCGGGACGCAAGCUGACCAGGAGUUCUGCAGCUGAGAAAGGAGUCCAAGGCUGGGAAGGGGGAGAGGUGGCCUAACAGAAAUACCACCUGAGCUACCUAAAAACGACAGAAGAGAAGUUGAAGGAGGAACAUGAAGGCCAAACAGCUCUUAGCCUCAGGCACACAAGAGGCAAGCCUCAGGCACACAAGAGGCAAGAACCACGGAAAAAACACAGGGCAACCUAGUGUAAACCGGGUGUUGAUGAGGAUUUAAGGCUCUGCAGAGGGGCGGUUCUCGUCUGUCUGGGGAAGGAAGAGAAGCUCCAGGUGACAAAGCGCACUCUGCACUCUGUCUCUGGGCAAUGCAGCUUGGAGAGCUGCUGCACUUACCUGCGGGGGCUAUGCUGGUCUCUAUUUCUGGAGCAGUCUGAGGUGAGGCCAAGGUAGAAGGGGGUUUCUUGGCAGCAUCUCCAACGGCUUCAUCGUUCACUUCAUCCUCUUUUUGCAAGGUUUCCAUUCCUUCUGCCUCUUCUUCCUCCUCUUCUUCUGGCUCAGAGUUCUCCUCCUGGGAGUUCUCUUCCUCAGACUCACCCUCCUGACUCAUCCUCCUUUCAGAUGCCAGCCAAGUCAGUUUCUCCAUUGUUUCCUAAAAGCACCAUUUUGUUGAGGUUUUGUCUGCUGCUAUGCAUGGAAUGAUAAAAUGUGUACCAGAAGGUCUACUUA